rnacentral:rRNA from 1 species
UGAGUACGAGAUGCUACGGCAUCGAAGCAGUCUAUGUCAUACUUCCAAGAAAAGCUUGCACUGUCAUAAACAAAGAAUGCCUGUACCAUAACCGACACAGGUGGGUAGGUAGAGUAUACUAAGGGGCGCGAGAUAACUCUCUCUAAGGAACUCGGCAAAAUGACUCCGUAACUUCGGGAGAAGGAGUGCCUUAUUUCUAAGGUUGCAAUAACAAGAUCCAAGCAACUGUUUACCAAAAACACAGGUCUCCGCUAAGUCGUAAGACGAUGUAUGGGGGCUGACGCCUGCCCAGUGCCAGAAGGUUAAAGAAGUUGGUUAGCAUUAGCGAAGCUGAUAACUGAAGCCCUGGUGAACGGCGGCCAUAACUAUAACGGUCCUAAGGUAGCGAAAUUCCUUGUCGGGUAAGUUCCGACCCGCACGAAAGGCGUAAUGAUUUGGAUACUGUCUCGGAGAGGGGCUCGGUGAAAUAGACUUGUCUGUGAAGAUGCGGACUACCUGCACCUGGACAGAAAGACCCUAUGAAGCUUUACUGUAACUUGAGAUUGAAAUUGGACUUUAUUUGCGCAGUAUAGGUGGGAGGCGCUGAGGAUAAUCUUGCGGGAUUGUUGGAGCCAUCAGUGAGAUACCACUCUUGUAAUGUUAGAUUUCUAACUUUGUAUCAUUAUCUGGUCAAAGAACAGUUUCAGGCGGGCAGUUUGACUGGGGCGGUCGCCUCCCAAACGGUAACGGAGGCGCACAAAGGUUUCCUCUGAACGGGUAGAAAUCGUAUCUAGAGUGUAAAGGCAUAAGGAAGCCUGACUGUGAGACCUACAAGUCGAGCAGGGACGAAAGUCGGUCUUAGUGAUCUGACGGUGCUGAGUGGAAAGGCCGCCAUUCAACGGAUAAAAGUUACUCUAAGGAUAACAGCUGAUCUCCCCCAAGAGUUCACAUCGACGGGGAGGUUUGGCACCUCGAUGUCGGCUCAUCGCAUCCUGGGGCGGUAGUACGUCCCAAGGGUUGGGCUGUUCGCCCAUGAAAGCGGUACGCGAGCUGGGUUCAGAACGUCGUGAGACAGUUCGGUCCAUAUCCGGUGUAGGCGUUAGAAUAUUGAGAGGAGCCUUCUCUAGUACGAGAGGACCGAGAAGGACAUACCUCUGGUGUACCAGUUAUCGUGCCAACGGUAAACGCUGGGUAGCUAUGUAUGGAGUGGAUAACCGCUGAAAGCAUCUAAGUGGGAAGCCCACCUCAAGAUAAGUA